rnacentral:rRNA from 1 species
AUACGGAGGGUCCGAGCGUUAUCCGGAAUCAUUGGGUUUAAAGGGUCCGUAGGCGGGAAUCUAAGUCAGUGGUGAAAUCUUGCAGCUCAACUGUAAAAUUGCCAUUGAUACUGGAUUUCUUGAAUUAGUGUGAAGUGGUUAGAAUGUGUAGUGUAGCGGUGAAAUGCAUAGAUAUUACACAGAAUACCAAUUGCGAAGGCAGAUCACUAACACUAUAUUGACGCUGAGGGACGAAAGCGUGGGGAGCGAACAGGAUUAGAUACCCCAGUAGUCC